rnacentral:rRNA from 1 species
UACGUAGGGUGCGAGCGUUGUCCGGAAUUACUGGGCGUAAAGAGCUCGUAGGCGGUUUGUCGCGUCUUCCGUGAAAACUGGGGGCUUAACUUCCAGCUUGCAGUGGAUACGGGCCGGCUGGAGGCAGGCAGGGGAGAAUGGAAUUCCCGGUGUAGCGGUGAAAUGCGCAGAUAUCAGGAGGAACACCGGUGGCGAAGGCGGGUCUCUGGGCCGAAAUUGACGCUGAGGAGCGAAAGCGUGGGGAGCAAACAGG